rnacentral:rRNA from 1 species
UAUGUCUAACAAUGGAUGUCUUGGCUCUGGUGACGAUGAAGGCCGAAGCGAAAUUCGAAAAGUAGUGCGAAUUGCUAGAUUCUGCGAAUCAUUAACUUGCUGAAUGUAAAUGAUGAGUUCUGUAAUGAGAGCUCAAAGGAGGGAGAGUAG